UACGUAGGGUGCGAGCGUUAAUCGGAAUUACUGGGCGUAAAGCGUGCGCAGGCGGUGAUGUAAGACAGAUGUGAAAUCCCCGGGCUCAACCUGGGAACUGCAUUUGUGACUGCAUCGCUGGAGUGCGGCAGAGGGGGAUGGAAUUCCGCGUGUAGCAGUGAAAUGCGUAGAUAUGCGGAGGAACACCGAUGGCGAAGGCAGAGUCUCUGGGCCGUAACUGACGCUGGAGGAGCGAA
rnacentral:rRNA from 1 species